CCGCGGCAGCUCCGAACAGAGAGGGAGGCGGACAUGGCUCACCCGCUCAAGUGCCUGCAGUGUAAACCUGAGGCUGGAUCCCCAGAAGCCACACACGGCAAGACAGGAAAUGGAGACGGGAGGAUCCCAAAGCUUGAGAGCCAGAUAGCCUGCUGCACACAGCAGCAAGGGACCCUGUGUCAAACAAGGCAAUCCUCCUGCCUCAGCCUCUAGAAUAAUGAGAUCACAGGUGCAAGCUACAACUUGCAAGCUAAGUAGAAAAAUCUGGAGGAACAGGAUGUGAAGCCCUCGCGCCCUUCCCCCAGCCUUGAUUAGGCUAAAACAACGCCCCCGUGGAUGGUUUUACAACAUAGCUGGAGUCCCGGCAUUUUCAGUUCCCUAAUGGAGCUUUGAGAAGUUAACUGCCUGCAGAGCUUACUUCGAAACUCAAUCCAGCUGAAACAAAGGAUGAGUCUGUGGGUGUGCCCAUAUAAAUGCAGAGCUAAAAAUUAAACUUUGAGCCUUGAUCAGAAACCUUUGUCUUGGCUUCAUCCUUCUCUCGACCAUCCAUCUUUUUUCAUUCCCAGUCUCUCUUUCAGGUACCCAGUUCUCUGUGGCUGCCAGACAGCUACACCCUAGUCUCUUAGGAUAUCCUAAGGUAUGAUGCAGUCCCAAUAGUACCUACUAUCUCAGUCACUUAAAACCAAACUGCAUUUUCUGUUCAUGCUACAAGUCCAUUAUGAGGUAGUAGGAAGUGCAUUGAUUGAAGCUGGUCAGAAUAAGAGAGCAGAAGUCAUGUGAACAUGCUAUAGGGACAAUUAGAUAUUCACCAGCAGUGCAAACUUCACCAGCACGUGAAUGAAUGUAAGUAAUA